GCCUUCGGGUACGCAGUGACAGGUGCUGCAUGGCUUUCGUCAGCUCGUGUCGUGAAAUGUUGGGUUAAGUCCCGUAACGAGCGCAACCCUUAUCCUUAUUUGCCAGCACUUCGGGUGGGAACUCUAAGGAGACUGCCGGUGACAAACCGGAGGAAGGUGGGGACGACGUCAAGUCAUCAUGGCCCUUACGACCAGGGCUACACACGUGCUACAAUGGCAAAUACAAAGGGAUGCUAAGCCGCGAGGUGGAGCUAAUCCCAGAAAAUUUGUCGUAGUCCGGAUUGGAGUCUGCAACUCGACUCCAUGAAGUCGGAAUCGCUAGUAAUCGUGGAUCAGAAUGCCACGGUGAAUACGUUCCCGGGCCUUGUACACACCGCCCGUCACACCAUGGGAGUGGAUUGCACCAGAAGUAGUUAGUCUAACCUUCGGGGGGACGAUUACCACGGUGUGGUUCAUGACUGGGGUGAAGUCGUAACAGGUAGCCAGGGCGAAUUCCAGCACA
rnacentral:rRNA from 1 species